ACAAAAAAAAAGAGAAAAACCGGAAAAAAAGAGGGAUGAUCGCAUCUGUACUACUCUCGCCCAAGCACACUUAACUGCGGAGUUCUGUUGGGAUCCGGUGCAUUAGUGCUGGUAUGAUCGCAUGUGUUACUACAUGCAAUGCAAUCGUAUCUAUUCUUUUUUAAAGACUUUAUGAUCCAUUUGCCGUGGGUCCUACCAGCUAUGUAGGAAUACCCUAUCUUCUUUAUAAGAGCUUUGAUACAUGCAAAAUAUUGGAAAACAAUGUUCGAACAUAUAAUUUUCGCCUCGUAAUAUAGCAAAGAUCACGAAAAGACCCGAAAAAGAACAUUAAGGUCAAAAUUAAGAGUAUAAAAA
rnacentral:sRNA from 1 species